CAGCAGUACCUCUACCACACCCGCUGUGAGCACUGCUGGACAGGUACGUUUAUCAGGAGACAGCGGGAAGUGUGGACUGGUUUGGAGUCUGGUGGUCAUUAUGAGCUUCAUAAGCAUCCUCAUAACUGCACUGGUGUUUUUGAUAAUCCAGAACACAAGGAGAAGAAACACAGAAACAUCUCAAACUGGACAGCGAACACAUCACAAUGCAAAUACGGAGGAGAUUGAAGAAGUGCAGUACAGCGCAUUGCGUUUUUCAAAGCCUAAACAAUAAGUUAAGUGAGACUGAAAGCUUUCAUUUCUAAUAUACCUAUCUACCUAUCAUAUGUACCUAAAGCGUAUUGUUGCUCAGACUUUUUUAAGGCUUUGCUUAGUCAUUUUGAUUUGUUGGAUCAUUAGCAGUGUGUAAAUUGCCUACAAAUGACAGUAAAUAAUGAAUGAAGGAAUUUUCCAGCUUUUUAAACUUUGUCUCGAUGUAUCUUGCCAUGGAUUGUGUCUAAUUGUGUCUAAUACCUUAAUUAUGCUGUGGAUUAUCAUGGAAAACCCUUUAAACAAAUUUCCCUGUGUUUGUUCAUUUGAUGUUGCAACAUAUGUUAAUGCCUUGUACACGACUUUGUUCUAGCGUGCUCUUGUCUUAUUAUAAAGCUUAAGUCUCAAUGCAUUUUGUAUAUUUUGCUCAAUCAUUUGUUCAAUCAUUUCAAUUGUUUUGUGCUUUAGUUUUAAACAGUGUAUACCAUAUUGCUAUAAAUAAAAUACAAGAAUAUAAAGGAAUAAAAAAAAAAUAGAGAGUCAAAUUCUACCAUCAAAUGAUCUGAAAAUGCAAUGCUGAAUAGAUGCACAAUAGGGACAAAAGCACUGAAACAUCUACAGUUUUUUGAUGUACUUUGCACCUGAGCGCUCCACAACUCCUUAAGUUUGUAUUACAGCCGAAGUUGAGUUGUUGUGGUUUGUAAAUGCUUUAUUCACUUAUAUAUGCUUAAUACCACUUAUCAUCAGCUGACAUGUUAAAUUCAGAACAUCCCAUUCUUUUAGUACUGUUUGUAAAGGCAGACUGCACUGCUUGGUGCUUAAUUUUAUACACCAGUGGUGAUGGGACUAAAAAC